rnacentral:rRNA from 1 species
UCGCGAAAACUUUGCAAUACACGAAAGUGUGACAGGGCUAUCCCGAGUGCCAUCCGCUGAGGAAGGCUUUUACCCAGUCUAGAACGCUGGGGGAAUAAGGAGAGGGCAAGUCUGGUGUCAGCCGCCGCGGUAAUACCAGCUCUCCGAGUGGUGUGGAUGUUUAUUGGGCCUAAAGCAUCCGUAGCUGGCUAAGUUAGUCCCUUGUUAAAUCCACCGAAUUAAUCGUUGGAUUGCGGGGGAUACUGCUUGGCUAGGGGACGAGAGAGGCAGACGGUAUUUUUGGGGUAGGGGUGAAAUCCUAUAAUCCCAGGAAGACCACCAGUGGCGAAGGCUGUCUGCUAGAACGCGCCCGACGGUGAGGGAUGAAAGCUGGGGGAGCGAACCGG